rnacentral:rRNA from 1 species
AUUGAACGCUGGCGGCAGGCCUAACACAUGCAAGUCGAACGAGUGGCGGACGGGUGAGUAAUGUCUGGGACACUGCUUGAUGGAGGGGGAUACCUACUGGAAACGGUAGCUAAUACCGCUUACCUUCCGAUGUGCCCUGAUGGGAUUGGCUAGUAGGUGGGGUAAAGGCUCACCUAGGCGACGAUCCCUAGCUGAUCUGAGAGGCUGCACAGCCACACUGGAACUGAGACACGGUCCAGACUCCUACGGGAGGCAGCAGUGGGGAAUAUUGCGCAAUGGGCGCAAGCCUGAUGCAGCCAUGCCGCGUGAAUGAAGAAGGUCUUCGGGUUGUAAAGUACUGUCAGCAGGGAGGCGUUACCCAAAGAAAAAGCACCGGCUAACUCCGUGCCAGCAGCCGCGGUAAUUC